AGAAGGAUUGAUUUGAAGUUGUGAUUUUUUGGUUAGAUUUACCUAUUUAUAGGUUUUCAAACACCCCUUUGAAUUGGUUCAUCACUUUCACUUAAUUUUGACGUCGUUUCGUCGGCAUCCCGUCAUUGGCAUCCCAACUCUGUAAUACCGUUAGCAUAAUUAAUUAAUUAAUUAAUUAAAAAUAAAUUAUUAGAAGAAUGUUGUCAUGACUUCAACUCAAGUCCUUAAUAUUACAACUCUUUUCUCUUUUCCAACUGAACCAAUUCAUUUGUUGGCUAAAUGGAUAACAUAUAAUAUAUUUAUUAUAUACUUUUUCGAUAAUGAAAAUAUCCAACAAUCUCCCUAUUUUCAUAACCUUCCGAUCCUUUCCCAUUGACCUACUUCUUUCUCUUAUUGGAUAUAACAUACAUGACUAAAAGGUGUCUUUCGACUUGAACCUUUUAUGAUGAGGACAUGCCUAGUUUGGAUAAAUGGAGGUCAUGGAUCGGAUCCGGUGCAAGUUCUAGUUGGACCGGUGACGCGGGCUAGGGCUAAGUGAUUCAAGGAGGGAUUACUUGUUCUUAUUCAAGCAACUUGGAAUGGGAAAGGAGCGAGUUCGAGAACUUUGGAAAUAGAGUCUAAGUUCGUGAAUAUGAUAGGAGUGAUUGACCAUAGCAAUAAUCUUAAUUCGAGUAAUGUUCCAAGCCAGGAAAGCAAAAAUCACAUAGUUGGAAAACCAAGGAGCUCGCCCCGGCGAGCUCACCUUUGUCCAGACUCGCCCCGGCCGCUUUUGAAUCCGCCCCAGUGAGUUGCUCUCUGGGGCGAGUUCACAAGCCAACAAGUUCACCCCGACGAACUCAGCUAGAAUUUGUUGGCACGUUUUUCAAGGCAAACGCGUAACUAGGAUACUUUAGAUUAGAUUUUGAUUCCAAAUCAAUUGUUGAUUCCUUUUCAAGGAUUCUAGGGUUUUAAACUACUAUAAAUAGGUUUUAUGAUUGUAAUUCAAUAUCAAUUAAUAAUAUUUAGAUUUUUAUCAUACUUGUGAGACUAUUCUCUACUUUUGGUUCUUUAAAGAAUUCCUAAGUUAUUUUCUUAGUCUUUUCUUUUGAGAUUCAAUUCGACUUAUCAUACAACAAUUCAUAGUUGUGUGUGGCGUCUUUUAACGCAUCAAUCGUCGAUUGUACCAAGAUUACCGCUUCAAUAUAAGCGAUGGGUCAAGGUGUCGUUGGUGUCCAUUCAACGCAUAUUUCCGAACGCGAGCAAUUAUACCAAGAUUACCGUCUACAUAUAGACGAGGAGUUAAGGUGUUGCAAGCAAUUCACAUUAGCUAGAAAUGAUCCGGGCGACGACCACCUCACGCAAGUGCGCCAUGUAAUCUAUCAUUUGGUAUCAAAGCUAAGUCUUCGAGCGAGUUAUCUAUCCUUAAUUUUUCUGUUUGAAUUACUGAGUAAAAGAAAAUACAAAAUUUUUUCAUAUUUUAAUUUUUGUCGAUUGCAUGCUAUCAUUAGUGAAUUCAUACCUUCUAUAAAUUGUUUCGUGAUAAGUUAUUUUUGAAUUAAUUAGUAAACCGAGAAUUUGCUAGGUGAAUUCGAAAAGAACCUAUUAGAGAGAAUAUUUAGAGGUAAAAGGCUUAAUUGAGGGUAAAAGCCAAUUUUGAGUGCCUACACGAGUGAAACCUUAAUUCGAGUGAAACACACAAGGGACCGAUAAGGAAAUGUUUUUCUACUAACAUUUGUUUUGAGAAAAUC
rnacentral:lncRNA from 1 species